rnacentral:piRNA from 1 species
UAGAAAUUUAUAUCACGGUCAAGCAUUUCA